rnacentral:rRNA from 1 species
GUGGGGAAUAUUGGACAAUGGGGGGAACCCUGAUCCAGCCAUGCCGCGUGUGUGAAGAAGGCCUUUUGGUUGUAAAGCACUUUAAGCGAGGAGGAGGCUACCGAGAUUAAUACUCUUGGAUAGUGGACGUUACUCGCAGAAUAAGCACCGGCUAACUCUGUGCCAGCAGCCGCGGUAAUACAGAGGGUGCAAGCGUUAAUCGGAUUUACUGGGCGUAAAGCGCGCGUAGGUGGACAAUUAAGUCAAAUGUGAAAUCCCCGAGCUUAACUUGGGAAUUGCAUUCGAUACUGGGAAGCUAGAGUAUGGGAGAGGAUGGUAGAAUUCCAGGUGUAGCGGUGAAAUGCGUAGAGAUCUGGAGGAAUACCGAUGGCGAAGGCAGCCAUCUGGCCUAAUACUGACGCUGAGGUACGAAAGCAUGGGGAGCAAACAGGAUUAGAAACCCGUGUAGUCC